CCUGUGUUAGCUCAGUUGGUUAGAGCAUGGUGCUAAUGAUGCCAAGGUCAUGGGCAAAGAGGUCUUCGAUCCCUGCAUUGCAGGG